GCUCACCCACGCUGAUGCCCGAGCGAGCCACUGCGACUCGCUGCCGGUUCUCGUCCACGUCUGCAGGCGCCGGCGCAGUUCGUCCUUGCCUCGCGGAUGCUUGCGCUAGAUACCGCAGCUCGCUGCGGGUUCUCCCCCACGCCUGCGCGCGAUAGCGCAGCUCUUUGCGGGUGCUUGCCAUCCCCUCGGCUCAUUGGCGCAGCUCACCCUCCCCUGCUGGAGAAGUGUUUUAGUGGCGAGGGUGGUGCUGAAGAGAAGACGAUGCCUUGUGCAGGUCCUGAGCAAGUGGCGUGAUGGCAGCAGCGGCCGGAGGAGAAGACGAUGCCUUGUGCAGGUCCUGAGCAAGUGGCGUGAUGGCAGCAGCGGCCGGAGGAGGAGAUGGAUGCGUGUGUAGGUCCUGAAGAUGUUGAAUGCAAGCAACAUGUAAGUCACGUUUGUUGUAAUCUUUUGCUUGAUUAUGGAUUGCGAUUUGGAAAUUA